CUGGAGUGGGUUGCCAUGUGGGGAAUCUUCCAGACCCUGCCAUCUCCUGCAUUGAGGGAUUGAAAAGGCAGUGUGCCAUAGUGGGAAGAGUUCAGACUCUGCAACAAAGGAGCUGGGUUUGAAUUCAGCUCUAUCAUCUACUAGGAUUACUGCCUGCUGAUGAUGCUGAUUGAAAGUAAGACUAUGCCCUGAUCUUGAAAUCUUGCAGUUGUUUGUGGUCAAGGCUAUUGGAUACAAUGGACAUUCAAGUCUGGACUUCUUUUUAUUAGUUGCAAACUAUAAACAUGAAAUAUUGUGCUUAAAAAGUGGUGUUUGGAUAAACUAGUUUUUGUAGAUUAUCCUGAUCAUUAGGAUAUGUUGAAUAAAAGGAAAUAUUUCUUUUGUUGGGCAGGCCUAAAUAGGCAAAUUAGAUACUCUUCUUUUAUGUGAGAUUAUAUAAAACAUGCAGAAUACAUUUGAUUAUCGUUCAAAUUUUUCACUUUACAUUAAUGAUGAAAUUAAUUUGAAUUGACUAAUAAACUAAUAAAAUAUCACAUCAAAAAUAAUUUUAAUAUUCUUGUGUUCCAGCUGAUGUUACUGAAUCUUAUCUUUUCCUAAAAACCAACUAAACUAGAAAUACUUUUUAAACUCUGUACUGUCUAAAAUUAUGCUUUAAUUUUUAAAAUAAGUCUCCAAAUUUCUAUUUGCUAUCAAAUAAAAAUGUCAUUUAAAAAAUUUUUGUUUUGCCAUGUUGUGUCAUGCCAUUCUUACCUUCAGGGGCCUUGAAAUGUAGGUAAUUUUAUUUGUAGAUUAAUAAAGUCAGAGUAAUUAUAUCAACAAAAGCACUGAACCAAGAGCCUGGGGAUUUGGUACUGAGUGCUGUGGUUCUCACCUACCCAACACAAGAUAUAGGAUGUAUUUCAUACUUUCUCUGAGUCAUUUCUCUGUGGGUAAGGUAAAACAGUUACAUCAAUGAAUGGUUCCGUUCAGUUCAGUUGCUCAGUCGUGUCCGACUCUUUGCGACCCCGUGGACAGCAGCAUGCCAGGCCUCCCUGUCCAUCACCAGCUCAGUAGGAAUGUUAAAAUAAGAAGUAUAUUAAAGGCAGAGAGACAUCUGCAAUGAAUUGAAUUCAAAUCCCAACCUUCUACUCACGAUAUUAAAAAUGAAACUUCAGGAUUUUUGUUUUCAACAUCAGUAACUUUUGUAAGUUGGUAGUAAAGAGUAGAAAUGUAGUAUGUAAAGCCUUCUCUCAAUGUUUGGAAUGUAGGUAAUUAAAAUAGACACCUCUUGUAAAGUACUUACCAUGUACUAAGGCUGAACAUGUAUAUAGAUAUAGUCAUUGCAUUUAUUCCUUAAAUCCAACUGAUAAAAUAUUAACAUUGUCCUUUUCAGAUGAAAAGCCUAACGCCUUCUCCAGAAUUUUUAAAACCUGCUCAAUGUUCCAUAGCUAGAACAUGUAUGGUAGAGGAAUGAAAAGCACCCUGAUCUCUUUGGAUUCAAGAUUCAAGUUUUUAUUAUUCACAAUAGCCAAGAUAUGGAAACACUCAAUGUCCAUCAACAGAGGAAUGGAUA